UGUUCUCCAACUCUGGCUACGGUCUGCAUGCGUAAGCGCUACGGCGUUAAUGCGACGCAGGGUGCAGCCCGCGGAGAUGACGCGAACUUUCAAGGGAGACCGUGGUAAUGUACACCCGUAAUAUGUCUGUUUCCACAACAAUUAAUUCGUCGCGAAUAAAUAUAAAUUGAGCGUAAACAACGUGCAGAACGGACGCCGACACUGCGUGUGCUACCUCUGGACCACCAGCUGUAAACUACCAUCACUACAAAGGAGCACUCCAUCUGCCAUUAAAAUGCCGUCUCCAUGGGUGCAACGUCUGGGCGUGGGUGCUCUCUUUCCAGCGAUCAUUAACCCCGCGCUCUGCAGCAACAACAACAACAACAAAAAUAAUCCAGCACCAGGGAGACGCCGCCGUGAUGAACAGCAAUUUAAAUCGCGGCGCGGACUGUGUUUGUGAUGGAACAAAGAAAAAAAAAGAGCGAGUCAGCUGUGCCGUGCGCAUGCAUCGCACCGCGAGUUGUUUACCGCGGGAUUUGAACCGUGAAAGUUGUUUUUCAUGCCGUGCACAUUCUAAAAGAGCGUCGAAAAAUCUCUGCUCGCGAAAGCGAUCGAUCGUGAUUUGUGACAUUUAAAAUAUCAGCAGCCGUGAUCAUCGUCGUCGUCGUCGUCCUCAACCAUGAUCCCUCCGCUGCUGGAUGAAGGACUCCCCAAGCUGCCGCCAAAUCUCGUGGUCUUCAUGGUCAGGCGACGCAACGAUCUAUCCCGCUGUUGCGCACGAGCUCAUUUCAUUGCGCGUAUUAAAACGUGCGAUUAACAUUCAUCGGCGCACAGUGUAGUUGUGGCGAUUUUCCGUAUUCAUGCACAAGUCCUGCUGCUACAUUUUCUGAGAUUUUUUUUUUUACAUUUACAAAGUACGACUUGUUAUGACUUUACAAAAUGCAACGCAGUUUCCUACGUUGGGCUGGCGGGAGGGGGGGAUAGCGCUCAUGUUUAAUGAUGGCAGCAUUCGACGGGUUUCCGACGCGAAACGCACUCUGUACCCAGCACCCAGCCCCUGCUUAUUAUGCGAGCUAAAUAAUUGACGACUCACCCAGCGUGGCGGUGCAUUUGAACUAAGGGUGAAUAAACCCGAUUUGCAUUGCAGUAUACCUGGCAGCUUGGAACACAGCAUCUCACUCAUCACCCCGCCGAUAGCCCCUAUUACCCCCCCCCCCCCCCAACAUACAUGCUCUGCAUCCUCUAAACUAGACAAAAACUAAACUCUCAGACGCAACUGAUUUAAUAAAUAGUGUAAAGUUGUCGGUGAAAGAAAGCAAAACAAUUAGCGAUUUAAGAAAACGAGUGUACAGUUGUUUUUGUCCAAUUUGUUUUUAUUUACUUAUUACAAACAGAAAUAUUUUUUUCAAAUUGCCAAUGUGUGAGUGCCUUUAUUUGUUACAUUGUUAUUCAAUUCCGUGUUUUACCAUUCCCCCAUAUACGAGGUGCAUUGCUGCAGUUGUAUCUCUCACGCCGCUGCUGAUGCGAGGGCCUCCGCUAGGACAGGCCUCUAGUGGCCCUCUAGACCAGUGGUUCUUAGCCUUUACUGCAGCCUGCACCUCUUUUGUUCUCAAUCGGUCAAACUAAAUAUAGAUAAUGUUAAGAAACACAUCGGUUUGCUUAAAUAAAGUGGUUGUACUUACGUGCCCGCGCUAAAUUUGUGUUUUCAAUUAUUUACCUUCUAAAAAAACACAUGGAAUGCCUCGCAUCCUCAGAAAGGGCAUCUCGCAUCCCCCCAGUGGGUGCAUGGACCCCAGGUGAAGAAGACCCACUGCUCUAGCUUGGUCAGACGUCUUGAAAAAUGUUCGAGUACCCACACUAGACCGCAUCGCACGCGACCUGCCUGACGACGUUUAAUAAUGCGACGACGGGAUAUUUUGACAGUCGUGCAGCAUUCUUUUACAAAGCCGUGGCUGGAGAGCGAACCGGCAAAUUCUGGGUUGCAAGUCCGACAUACUAACAACAACCAUUUGAGGCAGUGACAUGACCUCACGGUUGUUGCAGAGGUUCGCGGUUCCGGCCCAACAGGCUGCCCUGGUUAUUUCUGCGGGUAAAGUUAACCGUAAAAUAUGCGCCGCCCGAAUUUACGGUGGACGUUGAAGAUUCCAGGAUGUCAUUCACAAAGAGUAAGGCAUUUUGUGCAGGCGUCCACAUUUGUGAAAUUUGAAAAAAUUACCAGCAAAUUGCUCCUUUGGAUUACACGUGGCAAUAAUCGCCCCCUACCGGCAGACUAGUGCCCGAUUACAGGCCAGGUUGGCGAGUCAUCUUGUGCCCACAGGGUCGGCUGCCGCUGGGAAUGCCCAUUGACAUGUUUAAGUUGAGAUGUAAAGUGCUCUGAAAUUCCCUGGCCAAUAUGAGGGUGAUCUCUCUCUAUAUAUAUAGAAAUACAGUAAUUAUCAUAAUUAUUACAGCAGCAUCCCCUUAUGCAUAUAAACACCAUGCUUUUUUCACAAAAGAGCAGAAUCGUAAGCUAUAUAAAAAAAUAUAUAAAGACAAAUACAAACAUCCCCCGUAUA